rnacentral:rRNA from 1 species
UACGAAGGGUGCAAGCGUUACUCGGAAUUACUGGGCGUAAAGCGUGCGUAGGCGGUUUGUUAAGUCCGCUGUGAAAGCCCUGGGCUCAACCUGGGAAUUGCAGUGGAUACUGGCAAGCUAGAGUGCGGUAGAGGAUGGUGGAAUUCCCGGUGUAGCGGUGAAAUGCGUAGAGAUCAGGAAGAACAUCGGUGGCGAAGGCGCUCUGCUGGACCAUAACUGACACUCAGGGACGAAAGCUAGGGGAGCGAAUGGG